rnacentral:rRNA from 1 species
CUUAACACAUGCAAGUCGACGGGAUAUUGAACGAAGCUUCGGCCGGAAGAUCGGAUAUUCUAGUGSCGACGGGUGAGUAACGCGUGAGCAAUCUGUCCCGGACAGGGGAAUAACACUUGGAAACAGGUGCUAAUACCGCAUGAGACCACGAAGUCGCAUGGCUUUGGGGUAAAAGGAGGAAUCCGGUUCGGGGUGAGCUCGCGUCCGAUUAGCCCAGUUGGCGGGGUAACGGCCCCACCCAAAGCGACGAUCGGUAGCCGACCUGAGAGGGGUGAUCGGCCCACAUUGGAACUGAGAGACGGUCCCAAAACUCCYUACGGGAGGCAGCAGUGGGGAAUAUGGGGCAAUGGGGCGAAAGCCUGACCCCAGCAACGCCGCGUGAGUGAAGAAGGCCUUCGGGUUGUAAAGCUCUGUUAUAGGGGACGAAGGGAGUGACGGUACCCUAUAAGGAAGCCCCGGCUAACUACGUGCCAGCAGCCGCGGUAAUACGUAGGGGGCGAGCGUUGUCCGGAAUGACUGGGCGUAAAGGGCGUGUAGGCGGUCGUUUAAGUCUGGAGUGAAAGUCCUGCUUUCAAGGUGGGAAGGGCUUUGGAUACUGGACGACUUGAGUGCGGAAGAGGUAAGUGGAAUUCCCAGUGUAGCGGUGAAWUGCGUAGAGAUUGGGAGGAACACCAGUGGCGAAGGCGACUUACUGGGCCGUAACUGACGCUGAGGCGCGAAAGCGUGGGGAGCGAACAGGAUUAGAUACCCUGGUAGUCCUAGCCGUAAACGAUGGUACUAGGUGUGGGUGGUUUCGAUACCAUCCGUGCCGUAGUAACGCAUUAAGACCCCGCCGGG